rnacentral:rRNA from 1 species
AUUGAACGCUGGCGGCAGGCCUAACACAUGCAAGUCGAACGAGUGGCGGACGGGUGAGUAAUGUCUGGGAAACUGCCUGAUGGCGGGGGAUAACUACUGGAAACGGUCGCUAAUACCGCCUACUCUCAGAUGUCCCCAGAUGGGAUUAGCUUGUUGGUGGGGUAACGGCUCCCCAAGGCGACGAUCCCUAGCUGGUCUGAGAGGAUGACCAGCCACACUGGAGCUGAGACACGGGCCAGACUCCUCCGGGAGGCAGCAGUGGGGAAUAUUGUACAAUGGGCGCAAGCCUGAUGCAGCCAUGCCGCGGGUAUGAAGAAGGCCUUCGGGUUGUAAAGUACUUUCAGCGGGGAGGCGUUACCCGCAGAAGAAGAACCGGCUGACUCCGUGCCAGCAGCCGCGGUAAUUC